AUAAUGUUAAGAAGAAGAUGAGCUUUAUAAAUUAAAAUGUGAUAAAUACAUAUAUUACGAAGAAGAAAAAAAGGAGGGGAAUAUGGCUAAAAUUGCCAAUUUUGUUUAUAGUAUGAUUAUCUUUCUUUCCCUAUUUUUGGUUGCAACAAAGGCUGAAUGGUAUUAUCCAUGUAAUACUGAUUCUGAUUGUCCACAAAAUAUGUGCCCCCCUGAUAUGGAACCGAGGUGUUGGACUGGAUAUUGUAGCAGUUGUUAUAUAAGGUGGGGAAAAUAGAGUGUGCUCACAUGAUUCUUCAUUUAGUUUUAGACCCACGAUAGCACACAAAUGCUCUGCUACAAUGUUCCACAAGCUGUCAUUUUUAUUUUAUUUUCUUGCCACCCAACAAAUUGUUUUUUUUUUCUUUUCCUUUUUAUAAUUUCAAGAACUUUUUAAUGAUAUAUUAGCACUAUAAAAUAAUGAUAAUGAAAUCCAAUUAUAAUAUCCCCAUGAACUCCAAUUUAGGGAUAUCACAUUUUCUUUUCCACCAUACCACUCAUUAUAAUAUCUUUAAUAGUUAAGUUUGCAAAAUAGUUUUGUUACUUCUAAGCCUAUGAUUUUAUAUAUAUAGGACUGGAAAUGAGUCGAGUCGAACCGAACCUGUCUGAACUCGACUCGAUAAGAAUUGGUUCGGCUCGAAACUCGGCUCGAGUUCGACACAAACUAUUUUUUCAGCUCGAGUUCACUCGUUUAAAGUCGCCAUUGGACAA